GCGCGAACGAAAUCCUGUACGAGCCCGAUAUAACACACGCUAUGCGUCGCACAUACAACUUUCGCGCGCUGCAGACUCCGGCAGACUGAGUGUCGAGAAAGUCUUGAGGCUAGCGUACGCGAUUGCUGCGCUCCUGGCGGCCGAUACCCGACCUACAGCGUCACGCGUCUUUGGCCGGUCUCUCUGUAUUUCGAUUCCUUAGAAACUCGAGUGUACGUUUCUCGUACGGGUUCUGCACAUCCUAAAUCAAAUCCUUCGCGAUUCACCGAUGCAGAAAUACCAUCCGAAAGUAACAAUCACGAUUUUUGUAAAUAUAACGAGACAGCGAUCCUGGUACGACGUUGUACAUUUUAUGCGUCGUGAUCACGUUCAAUGACUAAAAUUUGUAUCUCAUAAAAAGUGCCCGACGUUUCGUAGAUUUUUUAGAUUAGUUAUUUAACUAUGAAUUGAAAUCUAUAAGAUCAAAGUCAAAUCUUUUAUUGAAGUACCUCAAACUGCCACCAGAGCAGAGGUAUAAUUUAAGUUCAUCGUAAGUCACAAGUAUGUAUAUGUAUAAUAUAUCUAACUGUCAGUCUAGCAUGUAACCACUAAACUUCGAGGUUAGUUUGUUUAUCGCUCUUACCUCACUUCUACGAAGAAGUUCCCAAGCCCCCUCGGUAAACACGGUCGACAUUCACACGACGGUACGCGGGUCGCGGUAAACAAUCUCUUUUGGACUGUGAAUACAUACGAAGACGCAUGUAUAGUGUAUACGCAUUUGGCGAGCACGUGGCACGAGUUAUCUCGAAACAGAGUCGAAUCUACGCGCGACAUGAUGGACGUAUGGUCGACUAUAUUUUUCUAUUGUACAGGAUACCUCAGUAUCAGUUUACUUGGAGCUGUUACAAACUAUUAAGAGAAUGUAAUUAAGCUGAGAAUGUAGAUAAUGCCGCGUAUAUUAAACUUGGGAUAGUUGAAAUAUCCUACCAUCAGCGUUUAACCACG